rnacentral:lncRNA from 1 species
ACAUAGCUCCUAAACUGGAGUGGUCAAUCCCAUCUUGACACACGCACCAACAAGUCAAGUACUUGACUACACCCAGCAGCCUUCCGUCACUGAAUUAAAAAUUCAAGUAGUCCAGUGCCUAAGUGCAGUGAGUUGCUUGCAAGUCACCGUGGCGGUCUCAGGUCGGAGGGAUAUUUAUACCCAUAUUCCAUCGGAGCAAAUCUUGAUAGCAGAAAUAGCUCCGGAGUCGGUCACGUUCAGUACAGAUGUACCCUUACAUCUCACCUGUAUGCCAUACCAGUGUCUCCACACU